rfam:Clohesyomyces aquaticus strain CBS 115471 BCR34scaffold_517, whole genome shotgun sequence.
GCCCGCUUGGCUCAGUGGUAGAGCGUAUCACUAGUAAGCCGCUAUGAUAAGGUCAUCAGUUCGAUUCUGAUAGUGGGCA